GAUGAACGCUGGCGAGAUGCUUUACACAUGCAAGUCGUACGGAAGUUUUUAAACUUUAGUGGCGGACGGGUGAGUAACACGUAAGAAUUUACCUCUGGGAGGGGGACAACAGACAGAAAUGGCUGCUAAUACCCCAUAAUGCUUUGAAAUACUACGGUACUUUGAAGUGAAACGGAUUUUACCGCCUAGAGAGAAGCUUGCGGCUGAUUAGCUUGUUGGUGAGGUAAUGGCUCACCAAGGCGACGAUCAGUAUCUGGUUUGAGAGGAUGAUCAGACACACUGGAACUGAGACACGGUCCAGACUCCUACGGAGGCAGCAGUGGGGAAUUUUCCGCAAUGGGCGAAAGCCUGACGGAGCAAUCUCGCGUGAGGGAUGACUGCCUAUGGGUUGUAAACCUCUUUUUCAGGGAGGAUAACAGACGUGUACCUGAAGAAUAAGCAUCGGCUAACUCCGUGCCAGCCGCCGCGGUAA
rnacentral:rRNA from 1 species